rnacentral:rRNA from 1 species
AAAGCGAGCGGCGGAUGGGUGAGAUAACACGCUGGGGAACCUGCCCCUAAGUCUGGGUAUACCAUUUGGAAACAGGUGCGUAAUACCGGAUAAUAAAGCAGAUCGCAUGAUCAGCUUUUGAAAGGCGGCGUAAGCUGUCGCUAAGGGAUGGCCCCGCGGUGCAUUAGCUAGUUGGUAAGGUAACGGCUUACCAAGGCGACGAUGCAUAGCCGAGUUGAGAGACUGAUCGGCCACAUUGGGACUGAGACACGGCCCAAACUCCUACGGGAGGCAGCAGUAGGGAAUCUUCCACAAUGGACGCAAGUCUGAUGGAGCAACGCCGCGUGAGUGAAGAAGGUUUUCGGAUCGUAAAGCUCUGUUGUUGGUGAAGAAGGAUAGAGGUAGUAACUGGCCUUUAUUUGACGGUAAUCAACCAGAAAGUCACGGCUAACUACGUGCCAGCAGCCGCGGUAAUACGUAGGUGGCAAGCGUUGUCCGGAUUUAUUGGGCGUAAAGCGAGCGCAGGCGGAAAAAUAAGUCUAAUGUGAAAGCCCUCGGCUUAACCGAGGAACUGCAUCGGAAACUGUUUUUCUUGAGUGCAGAAAAGGAGAGUGGAACUCCAUGUGUAGCGGUGGAAUGCGUAGAUAUAUGGAAGAACACCA